rnacentral:rRNA from 1 species
AAAUCCGGUACUCGUUAAGGCUGAGCUGUGAUGGGGAGAAGACAUUGUGUCUUCGAGUCGUUGAUUUCACACUGCCGAGAAAAGCCUCUAGAUAGAAAAUAGGUGCCCGUACCGCAAACCGACACAGGUAGUCAAGAUGAGAAUUCUAAGGUGAGCGAGCGAACUCUCGUUAAGGAACUCGGCAAAAUGACCCCGUAACUUCGGGAGAAGGGGUGCUCUUUAGGGUUAACGCCCAGAAGAGCCGCAGUGAAUAGGCCCAAGCGACUGUUUAUCAAAAACACAGGUCUCUGCUAAACCGUAAGGUGAUGUAUAGGGGCUGACGCCUGCCCGGUGCUGGAAGGUGAAGAGGAGUGGUUAGCUUCUGCGAAGCUACGAUUCGAAGCCCCAGUAAACGGCGGCCGUAACUAUAACGGUCCUAAGGUAGCGAAAUUCCUUGUCGGGUAAGUUCCGACCCGCACGAAAGGCGUAACGAUUUGGGCACUGUCUCAACGAGAGACUCGGUGAAAUCAUAGUACCUGUGAAGAUGCAGGUUACCCGCGACAGGACGGAAAGACCCCGUGGAGCUUUACUGUAGCCUGAUAUUGAAAUUCGGCACAGCUUGUACAGGAUAGGUAGGAGCCUUUGAAACGUGAGCGCUAGCUUACGUGGAGGCGCUGGUGGGAUACUACCCUAGCUGUGUUGGCUUUCUAACCCGCACCACUUAUCGUGGUGGGAGACAGUGUCAGGCGGGCAGUUUGACUGGGGCGGUCGCCUCCUAAAAGGUAACGGAGGCGCUCAAAGGUUCCCUCAGAAUGGUUGGAAAUCAUUCAUAGAGUGUAAAGGCAUAAGGGAGCUUGACUGCGAGACCUACAAGUCGAGCAGGGUCGAAAGACGGACUUAGUGAUCCGGUGGGUCCGCAUGGAAGGGCCAUCGCUCAACGGAUAAAAGCUACCCCGGGGAUAACAGGCUUAUCUCCCCCAAGAGUUCACAUCGACGGGGAGGUUUGGCACCUCGAUGUCGGCUCAUCGCAUCCUGGGGCUGUAGUCGGUCCCAAGGGUUGGGCUGUUCGCCCAUUAAAGCGGUACGCGAGCUGGGUUCAGAACGUCGUG